CCUACGGGUGGCAGCAGCGGGGAAUAUUGCACAAUGGGCGCAAGCCUGAUGCAGCCAUGCCGCGUGUGUGAAGAAGGCCUUCGGGUUGUAAAGCACUUUCAGCGGGGAGGAAGGCGUUAAGGUUAAUAACCUUGUCGAUUGACGUUACCCGCAGAAGAAGCACCGGCUAACUCCGUGCCAGCAGCCGCGGUAAUACGGAGGGUGCAAGCGUUAAUCGGAAUUACUGGGCGUAAAGCGCACGCAGGCGGUCUGUCAAGUCGGAUGUGAAAUCCCCGGGCUCAACCUGGGAACUGCAUUCGAAACUGGCAGGCUAGAGUCUUGUAGAGGGGGGUAGAAUUCCAGGUGUAGCGGUGAAAUGCGUAGAGAUCUGGAGGAAUACCGGUGGCGAAGGCGGCCCCCUGGACAAAGACUGACGCUCAGGUGCGAAAGCGUGGGGAGCAAACAGGAUUAGAUACCCGAGUAGUC
rnacentral:rRNA from 1 species